GAAAUUCACAUCAUUUUUAAUCAUGAUCUUCUCAUCAGCUCUAUUACUGCUGGCAGCAGCUGCAUCAUGUGGUGUUUUCUGUGUUGAGCUCACUCAACCUUCAUCUAUGGUUGUGAAACCUCAAGAAUCAUUCUCCAUCUCCUGCAGGAUUUCAGAAUCAAGCUACUGCAUUCACUGGAUCCGUCAACCCACUGGAAAAGCACUGGAAUGGCUUGGAUAUCUUUGUAAUGGUGGUGGCACUAACAUUAAAGACUCCGUGAAAAACAAGAUCAGUUUCACCCAGGACACGUCCAAAAACACAGUGUUUCUACAGGGGAAGAAUUUUCAGACUGAGGACACAGCUGUGUUUUACUGUGCCAGAGAGUCACAGUAAAUAAACAAGCCACAGCUCUGUACAAAAACCUGAACACAUGCAAGAAUCAGAUAUAGAUAACACCAGGGGCAUUUCUAGACUUUCAUCAGCAUCCAACACCAGUCCCCAUAUAAAUAUUCUUACAGUCAUUUACAAGCUGUGCCAGUAUACAGUAAUCAUUAACACAUAAGGAU